rnacentral:rRNA from 1 species
GUGGGGAAUAUUGGGCAAUGGGGGAAACCCUGACCCAGCGACGCCGCGUGAGGGAAGACGGCCUUCGGGUUGUAAACCUCUUUUGUACGGGAAGAAGGAAGUGACGGUACUGUACGAAUAAGUCCCGGCUAACUACGUGCCAGCAGCCGCGGUAAUACGUAGGGGACGAGCGUUGUCCGGAAUUACUGGGCGUAACGGGCGCGCAGGCUGUGCUGCAAGUCAGCUGUGAAAUGUCUGGGCUUAACCCGGGCAUGCGGUUGAGACUGCAGUGCUGGAGUGCUGUAGAGGCAAGUGGAAUUCCCAGUGUAGCGGUGAAAUGCGUAGAUAUUGGGAAGAACACCGGUGGCGAAGGCGACUUGCUGGGCAGCAACUGACGCUGAGGCGCGAAAGCCAGGGGAGCAAACGGGAUUAGAUACCCGUGUAGUCC